GGUUCUUGCGCCUAUUCUUAUUCAUGUGUGCUCUUCCUUUAUUGACUAUCCUAUUAUAGAGUUAUGGUUAUCCCAUUACUUGGUAGAUAUGUAUUGCGAUCCUUUUUAGAGAUCAAACUGGGUUAUACCAACUUAUACAACGUUAGUUAGCCAUUUCAGAAAGAAAUCCUCCUCUAUCUUUUCUCUGAGUCAUCACAUCUUUUGACAUCUAAUUCAUUUUAGAUUAUGCCAGGAACUGCGAAGGGGACGGGUGCUUGUAGAUGAAGAGAAGGAAAAAGGUACAGAGAAGCAUAAAAAUCUCCUCUCCUGUUCAUCUCUGUAAGGUCUGUUACGUGCAACAACUAUACUUCGUUAAUUAAAAAUGGUUUACUCAUUUUUAACUGCUGCUGGGAUUUUCAAGGAGUUCUAAAAUGUUCAUUUUCAUCCGAGCACUAUAACAAUUGUUACUUCAAUGCUGAACAGAAAUAUAAUAACUGUUUUUUAGCGUUGGCUUGUGUUCUCCCCGUGAACAUGGAAGGAUUUCCCGUGUGAUUUUAGAAAUAUACUAUGAAACCAUUUUCAUCUUUUUAGUAAUGCAGGGACGAUUGCUAUA